GAAUAUGUUUCAGGUUGACUUGGUCAGUACCAUUGGUGAAGCAUCUGCCAUGGGAGCAACGGGCAUUGUGUUGUGGGGGACCACUGAAUAUUCAAAAUCAAAGAACAACUGCUUAAGUGUGAAAAAAUAUAUUGACGGCCCACUAGGGCAUUAUAUCAUGAAUGUGACAUCAGCGGUGAGGCUGUGCAGUAAAGUGUUGUGUAGAAAGAAUGGGAAGUGCGUGAGGAAAAAUCCGGACUCCUUCGACUACCUGCAUCUGAGCCCAAGCAGUUUUAAGAUAAAGACCCACCCAUCAGGAAGGAGUCCAAGGUUUUUUGUGACAGGAAAAGCAACAGGAAAAGACAUAACGGCGAUGAAAAGUAAGUUCCAGUGUCAGUGUUACCAGGGAUGGGCAGGGAUCUUCUGUGAGCAGCCAAGACCACAUGUUAAAGCACAGCUUCAUAGCAAUGGAGCAGUGAAUCAGACUUUUUAUGCAGCAUGUUUGGUACUGACUCUGAUUCUUCUUUUUGUUUCUUUUCCUGAACUGUGAUACCACGCUUCUAUGCUUCUGUAAAACUUUUACGCUACUUCAUUAUUUCCUAAUAUUGUAGCAAAGCAGUAGCCUUUCUGCUUAUGCAGGAUGUGUUAUGAAUCCAGAAAAGAUGGCAUCCAAACAGCAUCUUACCAAGAAACAAUCAAUCUAUCUUAAUGUCUGCUGAGAAGAAUCUAGAUCCUCCUACUUACUGGUACAACAUGACUGCCUUGUUGACCCAUGUUACUAUAGUGAUGAACAUGAUUCUUUGCCUAUCAUAUGACUGCAAAGACUUUCUUGGAAAUAUAUGCGUAUUAUAUUUUCUGUUUCUUUUUUUGUUAAUUUACUUAUGUGGGUAUAGUUCUUUGUUUCAGAUGAAUCAGGUAACUAGCCUAAGCUGAAAUUGUACGAAAUAAAUCAGAGAAGAGCUUUGUAAUUGACUCUAAAAAUGUAAAGCCUUGUAGCACAUCAAUAUUGUGAUUGAUUGAUAAGCUAUAUUUUCCUAAUUUUUGUAAAUCUUUCUCUAUAUCUUUAAGUUGUGAAGGUACUGUGAAGAUAGUGAUGAUGAAAACAAUUUGACAUUGUUAGAUUUUAGCUGUUAAUGAACAGCUCUGUUUUUUAGUGGGCCUGUAUGCUUGUUUAAUAGUCUAUUAACAACCUGACAGUUCUUUUUAUAACAUGCUGUUAAAUUUUGGAAAUUUUCACAGAAACUCUACAUUACUUUCAGAAAUUCACAUACAUUUCAUAUAAGAUGAGCCAAGUUUACAUAAGUAUUCUGUCAUAGCUACUGAUGUGCCAUUUAGAAUUGAAUCCAUGCUGAGAUGAACCAUAUAAUUAUGUUAUUUUCCUUGUUUAAAACUGAACCAUUAGUCAGCACAUAUUAUCUUACAUUUUUGUAAACAUUGUUUUUCCCCCAUUGCCAGCCAUCAUCCCCUUUUUAUGCUAUUUAUGUGCUGUUACCUGGCAACCAUCAUCCUUUCUUCCCUCCAUUCGACAUGAGCCAUCAUAUGGGUAACCAUUGCUCGAUUUGUGGUUAUAUCCCUAAUCUCACCCCCAUGGCUUGCAAAAGCACCUGCAUUACUGCAUGGGCUUUUUAUGUUCUCCUCUGCUAUGUAUGUGUUCCAUGUGUUUGUGUUCUCACACACAUGCCUACAAUGGCUACCAUCACUGGCUUGAAAUACAAAGUCCCACUCACAUCAGCAUUGUUAUGAAAAGCUCCACUGGACCACCAUUUCCCUCCCAUAAAGGAUGGGAGAGCCACAACAUACCACAUUGGUCAGAACUGGGUCACCUUGGCCAUAGUCAGAACUUCUUUAAAAGGAACACAGACAUGACCAGACUAGGUGGAUAAUAACUUGCUCCAAAAAUAUUUAUACAAUGUGUUAAGUAAUUUAUGCAGACAGAAGGAGCCAAAGGUGAAACAGUAAUCCCAACAGUAAUUAGUUCAUGUGAACUGAAGUAUAAAUUAAGUAAAUCAUGAAAUGUUGAUGGUAAAAUUUGGCAUAAAGUUAGUAUUUAUGUUCUCUGUACCAAAAUGUCUCCCAGUCCAGCUGCAGGCCAUGGUUCUGUAGUUUCUCAUUCCAAUAUUUGGGAAAAUGAAUUCUGGAAAUGUGGAUACGUUUAUAUCUGACUUAUAAAGAUAUACUAGAUUAUGGUUUUGUUUAAGAUCAGAAGAUAAAGAGCUAGUAUUACAGAAUGUUUCUUUAUCAACAGAAACUCUUAGAUUUAAAUUAGCUGGAGUUAUGCAUACCAAUUUGUUUAAACACAAAUUGUGGGUUUAAACCCAAAUUAACACCAUUUCAGAUGCAGAGACCAGUGUUUACUCUUUUAAAGAAUGAAGCAACACUCUGACUGGUAUUACAAGAAGAAACUGAUGGUACUUGAUUGAAAACAGAAGAAAUUCAUAACUUGAAUAAGCAAGUGUUUCCAGUUUUGAUGAGAAAGGUUAUGAAAUACUGGUUGGAUAGACAGGUCAUAAAUGCCACCUUCAGGAGAAAUCUUUUGAUCUUUGAGUAGACAUAGAUAUUUUCCAGAAAUGUAUUUUUUUUAAGCAUUAAAAUACUUAAAAUAGACAAUGUUGCUUCAAAACUGCUUGUUUUGCUGUUGUCAUGAAUAAUAUUUUUGCAAGAUCUGUAAAAUAAAUCUUGAAAUGUGACUGUCUUAUUAUACCUUUUUUAAUUUGUAUACAGUGUACUUACUCGGAAGUGAAUGCUGGUAUUUGGUUCUAUGGAAUACAUUAUGAUGUAAUAUGCUAAGGUUGCAGUGUAUGAGCUUGUUUAGACACACUUAAAAUACUAUUUCAUUCUAUAAAAUUCACAUGCUCAGAGUUUUUUCUAUAAUGCUGUCUUACCUUGAGUAGGUCAUGUUACAGAUUAAUAUGGAUUUAUGUUCUGGGGUCACAUUAAAGAUUACUGUGGAUUUCUGUUCUAUA